GCGAACGCUGGCGGCAGGCUUCACACAUGCAAGUCGAGCGGGCAUCCUUGUGGUGUCAGCGGCAGACGGGUGAGUAACGCGUGGGAACGUGCCCUUCGGUUCGGAAUAACUCAGGGAAACUUGAGCUAAUACCGGAUACGUGCGAGAGCAGAAAGGUUUAUCUGCCGAAGGAUCGGCCCGCGUCUGAUUAGCUAGUUGGUGAGGUUACGGCUCACCAAGGUGACGAUCAGUAGCUGGUCUGAGAGGAUGAUCAGCCACACUGGGACUGAGACACGGCCCAGACUCCUACGGGAGGCAGCAGUGGGGAAUAUUGGACAAUGGGGGCAACCCUGAUCCAGCCAUGCCGCGUGAGUGAUGACGGCCUUAGGGUUGUAAAGCUCUUUUCUCCGGGACGAUAAUGACGGUACCGGAGGAAUAAGCCCCGGCUAACUUCGUG
rnacentral:rRNA from 1 species